rnacentral:misc_RNA from 1 species
GUAAAGCACAAAAUAUGGGUACUAAUGGAGAAAUUACAAAUAAACAUAUGUAACCUGGUUUUAGAGAAUAUACAGAAAGAAUGAGUGAUCAACCAAUUAAAGACUGAAAGAAUCAAAUAAAGCAGAAACAAAACAAUGAGACAAAGUAGCAACUAGGUGUCUUAACUGAAGAGUGAUCACUUUAUGAGAUAGAGAUAGUAAUAAGUAUUAGUUGAGUGACGAGUACUAGCAACGCAUCAUGAUCUCAAACUCAUGAAAAUUAAGGAGACCAUCGCCAUCAAUAUCAUAGCGGCAAAUCAUUCCUCUGCAUUCAUCAAUUGUUGUUGAUUCUCCCAAUCUAGAAAGCAUUCUAUUCAAACUCUCAGGCGUUAUGCAUCCACACCCUUCCAUUUCAUACAUCUUGAACGCCUCCUUCAACUCGUGCGCCUUCUCUUCUUCACUUCCACCUUCAAUUAAUCUCACAAAAUCUUCAAAAUCCAACAAGCCAUCAUUGUCUGAAUCAUUAUGCUCAACAGCAGCCUUUGCUUCCUCAUAUGACAUGUCUUUGCCAAUCAAAUGCACACACUGUUGAAGCUCCUCGGCAGAUAUUUUCCCGUCUCUGUUCUCAUCAAAACGGUCAAAUAGGCGUUGGUGCUGUUUGUAUUCCGC